rnacentral:lncRNA from 1 species
AUCACCCUGUAGUUACACUAAUAUUAUGUCAUAUCUCUAAUCUAACAAAACCAUAACAUAAAAUAAAAAAGAAAUUAAAAAACUCCUUAUACAUUUUUUUUGGAAUAGCAUACAAAACUUUUCUUGUGCCCCCUUUGCACAGUUUCUAGCUUUCUCGUAUUUCCUCUUUUCAACCGGAUAGGCUCAUGCAUCUGGAAUCUCUACCAUUGAUCUUUCAUUUAUUAUUGUCUCAUUGCAUUUACCUUUUGUGAUCUCUAUUCCUUCCGACAUUGACGCUUGUAAUUUCUUGACCAAUGGCUUUGUGACCUUCGCUUCUUCCCAAUUUGUCUUUGUUUUCAGUGUAUGAGGCUAGUGCAAGGGCAGUGCUUGUAGUCCCUGUGGCUAUGUCUUUUCUAUGUUCCGCAAUUCUUUGUUGCAAGAUUCAUGUAGUAACAUCUAUGUAUGCAGUACUUUGCUGGAAGUGUAAAAACUUAGAAAGGGAUUUUAUAUGUUCUGGAUUUUUGGGUUUCCUUCCUUUUUUGUUUUUCAUUUCUUAUUCUAUUGAAUACUGUUGGCGUCCUAUAGAUCGCUGGAUUCUUAUUUACUCUUUUUAGGAGACUUUUUGCUAUGUUACAUUUAGCUAGUUGGUACAGCAAUGGUAUGUAUUCUGGGUUUCGCAUUACUUCUUCA